rnacentral:rRNA from 1 species
UAGGGAAUCUUCCGCAAUGGGCGAAAGCCUGACGGAGCAACGCCGCGUGAGUGAUGAAGGUCUUCGGAUCGUAAAACUCUGUUAUUAGGGAAGAACAAAUGUGUAAGUAACUAUGCACGUCUGGACGGUACCUAAUCAGAAAGCCACGGCUAACUACGUGCCAGCAGCCGCGGUAAUACGUAGGUGGCAAGCGUUAUCCGGAAUUAUUGGGCGUAAAGCGCGCGUAGGCGGUUUUUUAAGUCUGAUGUGAAAGCCCACGGCUCAACCGUGGAGGGUCAUUGGAAACUGGAAAACUUGAGUGCAGAAGAGGAAAGUGGAAUUCCAUGUGUAGCGGUGAAAUGCGCAGAGAUAUGGAGGAACACCAGUGGCGAAGGCGACUUUCUGGUCUGUAACUGACGCUGAUGUGCGAAAGCGUGGGAAUCAAACAGG